GUGCCAGCCGCCGCGGUAAUACCGGCAGCCCGAGUGAUGGCCACUCUUAUUGGGCCUAAAGCGUCCGUAGCCGGCCUCGCAAGUCCGUCGGGAAAUCCAGUAGCUCAACUACUGGGCGUCCGGCGGAAACUACAAGGCUUGGGACCGGAAGGCUCGAGGGGUACGUCCGGGGUAGGAGUGAAAUCCCAUAAUCCCGCACGGCCCACCGAUGGCGAAAGCACUUCGAGAAAACGGACCCGACAGUGAGGGACGAAAGCUGGGAUCUCGAACCGGAUUAGAAACCCCAGUAGUCC
rnacentral:rRNA from 1 species